GGAGGGUUCGCAUAGCGGCCGAGUGCAAGCGCCUUGAAAGCGCUCGACAGGAAACUGUCCGUGGGUUCAAAUCCCACACCCUCCG
rnacentral:tRNA from 1 species